CUUCAUAUCUUUAGUACCAUUGAUAUAGAUGCAAUGGCGCUUUGUGUUCAGAGUGAACUCUGCCCCAGGCACCUUUUCUUUAAGCGCACUAAGGUCUGGUCCAAAUGUCUGAACAACUCUUUUCAUCAGGUCAUGUGGCAAAAGUCCUCCNUCUCAACCAAUCAGAAACCUUUGAUCAUUUUUUGACAAAUACACCUAUAUCCAACAACCUACCAUCAACCAACUUUCUUGAAUUCUUGACAUAUUUCAUCAAAUUUUGCCAAAAAAAUUCAAGAAUUUGGGAUGAUGGCAGGAUGGUUGAUGAAUAACCAAAAGUUAAGUCCUAUGGGGUUGAUGAUCAACAAAGAUGAGAAUUGUAUGUUUGGCCAAAAACAAAAAUCAAGUCUUGAUUUUCUAAUGCAGAAUUGUGACUUGCCUCCACCUCUCAAGGUGUUUUCUGGCCCUGAUAAGUCAGUGUUGCUAUCACCGACGAGUGAUAACGUUGAGGACGUGGAACAAGGGGGUGAUAGGUUGGAGGUUCUAAAGGCGUUGAGACGAUCACAGACACGAGCAAGAGAGGCUGAGAGGAAGUACCUGGCAUUGGAGGAGGAGAAGGAAGCUCUUUCGAAUUUGAUGUUGCGGGAAUCAGCGCGAUUGCUUGCUUGUAAGAACUGGAUCAAAGUUCUUGAGCUACAAAUCCUGCAGUUAAAAACACAAAAACAGCAGCAGCAGGAAUAUGAACAUGUUGAUACCAAAGAAGAUGAAAAUGGUACAAAUGGGGUAACAUGGUUCAUAGCAGUUGCUUUCUGUUUAGGCAUAGCUGCAAUUGGUUACAGAUACCUCCUUUGACGGAGUACAGACUGAUGAGGAUGAGUCAAAAGGCACACGAUACCUUACCUUAGACAUGUUGGAUCAAAGCAGACAAUAUGUGUCAUCUUUUUUCUCCUGUUCUGAUAUGCUUUAUCAGUCAUCUUAUAGGUACUAUGAUGUUGGAAACACAAUUAACCAAAUGCCACAAAAUUAGACAGAAACUUUGUACUAUUGUAAUAGAUAAGACAGUUAAAUAUAGAUAAGAAAAGGGUUCUGAAGACACCAAUAUAUUGAUGUCUCUACAACAUAAACGUCAAGAUAUUUACAGAUAAAAAGCUCUUGCUUACGUACUCGGUGCAACUAUUUUGCAUGAACACGCUUACAUAAACUAUGUUUCACGAUUUCUCAUGUAAUGGACCCAUGAACAGACCUCAAAUGGUUAUAGCAGUUAUCACUGGUGUCGAAGAAGAGCAAGCAAACCCAGCAAACAUGUUUCCCGCACUUACACUCGAUAUGAUUGCAGCCCUCCACCUUCUCGAUUGUAAAGCCACAAACGGGACAUUUCUUUACAUUGUCUUUCCCCUUGGACCAUUCCUCUAGAGAGCAAUCUGGGUUGUCUUUAAUCUUCUGGUAUGUCUCGCAUGAGAGGUAAGGAUGGUACUCCAGGUGGCAACUCGUACACGUCUCCACAUAGCAUGCAUCACAGGCAAAAGGUGCACCAACCAUAUCGGGAGCUGCAAUGCGAUAAACUGAAGGGCAGUCGGGUGAGGGGCAAAAGCGGUAGGUACUCCCAUUGGCUGCCACAAAAGCCCCCAAGGAAGCCCUGAAAAGUUCUUCCAACUUAUCACUGGACAACAACGACUUCAAAUCAGUAAGCAAGAUGGGUUCUGCACAACCUUGAUGAAGACAGCAUAUGGGGAAACCUUCCCGGCUUUUGAUUGCAGACUCGCACUGCUCUAGCAAGCAUGUCCGACAGAAUACAUGGCAGCAAGCUUCAAGUUUAUAAGGAUCCUCUGGUUCACACAAGCAAACAGGACAGUCAGCAUCAUCUCCCGUCGUUUGAGUUGGAAAACUUCUUUGAGCAAUUUCAGAGAUUAUGUCCUCAACACUCCGCUUCAUAUCUUUAGUACCAUUGAUAUAGAUGCAAUGGCGCUUUGUGUUCAGAGUGAACUCUGCCCCAGGCACCUUUUCUUUAAGCGCACUAAGGUCUGGUCCAAAUGUCUGAACAACUCUUUUCAUCAGGUCAUGUGGCAAAAGUCCUCCACGAAGAUGCACCUCAAGUUGUUUACUUUCAUGUAGCGCCAGAAGGGAAUUAAUAAAUCUCU
rnacentral:lncRNA from 1 species